UGGGACUUGUGGUUUUUUUCAAACAUUCCGAACAUUUAUCAUCUACCACUGAUAGUGUCACGUACUCAGUGUUAUAGAACCGCAUUCCUUUAAUAAUAAUUGAUUUACAACAACCAAGCUCAAUAUAAAUAUUACAAAUUAAACAAAUAUGUACUACAAACAAAAUCAACAACAAAAACCUUGGGUUGUCUAAAAAUGGGAGUUUUGUACACACAAAGUUUUAAAUAAUUUUCAAUAAGUGAAAAUUAAAAUACGGGGCUUGGGGGUGGGCGUACAGGGUCAUUUAAAUACACUAAAUUCACUAAGAGGGUGAGGGGGUUGGAAGAACAAACAUACGAAAUACACUUUCUAUCUGGCAGAGGGCGGAGGGAGAGGGUUCCAGAAGAACAGAAGGUUAACAGGCAAAGGUUCAUAGGUGUUGCUGGGUGAUUUUUGAGAGAGAGGUGUCUUACAAUAAACGGAGGUAUUUCUGAGGGGCGGGCUAAGGCGGGGAUGUGGCAGCACCAAUCAAAACGAUCAAAACUCACAUCAGGUAAUUGUUGUAGGUGAUGUGCAGCUGGUAUCGCUCCUGCCAAAUGCGCCCCUUUUAAUAGAGGAUCCGUCAAACCUGAAAGUCCUGCAUGUAAACCACCAGCCAACGCAAGUGGAAACAUUGGACAGGUCUGAGAGUAGAGAAAUUUGGAAGAGAGACAUUAAUAAUGCUUGAGUUGAGGGGGACGUUCGAUUUGUGUGGUGUUUUCUCUGUUAAUCAAAAGAAUUCUUUUUUUUAUAAUUUGGAAUAACCCAACUAGUUUUUGAGUGAGUCUUAGUACAAAAAGAAAAUUUUAAAGGGCAUGUUUAUUUAUUAUAAUUUUUGUUUUAUUAGAUUUUUUUCUUUUUGAUUUCCUCAAAAGGAAGACGGACUAAGGGCUAUGAACGGAAAAUUGGAUUUUAUUGAGCCAAAUAUUUAUACCUUUAAGACCAUCUCCCCGACGAAUGCAAAGCACCUGUGAAAGAUCAUAAAAUACUUAUAAUUUAAUUCCAAAUAAAAAAAAAAAAACAAACAAACAUGAUUUAAGAUUUAACCUCGAUGAAGGAAACUGGAUUCGAAGUUGAGGAAAGUGUUUUUUUUGUCUUGAUUUUGGGAAUUGAACAUUAUACAAGGUUUUUCUAGUAACAACAAAACAAAAACAGGAGGGUGGUACUGUUAACGAGUGAGUUGAGUAGAGAGUGUAGUGCUUUCUAUAUUUUAGUUCAUAUGAGAAAAAGCACCACAGUUACAAAGAUUUGAAUUUAUGUAGAAUUUUUUGGGAAUAUUCGACUUUAAUUAAUAUUAAACAAUACAUUUGGGUUUCGAGUUAUAGGAAAAGAAACUUCUUUAUACAAAAUACAACCUGUAUUGUUCA